CACACCGCCCGUCACACCAUGGGAGUUGGUUCUACCCGAAGGCGAUGCGCUAACCCGCAAGGGAGGCAGUCGACCAUGGUAGGGUCAGCGACUGGGGUG
rnacentral:rRNA from 1 species